rnacentral:rRNA from 1 species
UUUGAUUAUGGCUCAGGACGAACGCUGGCGGCGUGCCUAAUACAUUGCAAGUCGAGCGAAGUUUUUCUGGUGCUUGCACUAGAAAAACUUAGCGGCGAACGGGUGAGUAACACGUAAAGAACCUGCCUCAUAGACUGGGACAACUAUUGGAAACGAUAGCUAAUACCGGAUAACAGCAUUAACUGCAUGGUUGAUGUUUAAAAGUUUGGUUUUGCUAACCCUAUGAGAUGGCUUUUGCGGUGCAUUAGCUAGUUGGUGGGGUAAAGGCCUACCAAGGCGACGAUGCAUAGCCGACCUGAGAGGGUGAUCGGCCACACUGGGACUGAGACACGGCCCACACUCCUACGGGAGGCAGCAGUAGGGAAUCUUCCGCAAUGGGCGAAAGCCUGACGGAGCAACGCCGCGUGAGUGAAGAAGGAUUUCGGUUCGUAAAGCUCUGUUGUUAGGGAAGAAUGAUUGUGUAGUAACUAUACACAGUACAGACGGUACCUAACCAGAAAGCCACGGCUAACUACCUGCCAGCAGCCGCGGUAAUACGUAGGUGGCAAGCGUUGUCCGGAAUUAUUGGGCGUAAAGCGCGCGCAGGUGGUUUAAUAAGUCUGAUGUGAAAGCCCACGGCUCAACCGUGGAGGGUCAUUGGAAACUGUUAAACUUGAGUGCAGGAGAGAAGAGUGGAAUUCCUAGUGUAGCGGUGAAAUGCGUAGAGAUUAGGAGGAACACCAGUGGCGAAGGCGGCUUUUUGGCCUGUAACUGACACUGAGGCGCGAAAGCGUGGGGAGCAAACAGGAUUAGAUACCCUGGUAGUCCACGCCGUAAACGAUGAGUGCUAAGUGUUGGUCUCAUAAGAGAAUCAGUGCUGCAGCUAACGCAUUAAGCACUCCGCCUGGGAGUACGACCGCAAGGUUGAAAACUCAAAGGAAUUGACGGGGACCCGCACAAGCGGUGGAGCAUGUGGUUUAAUUUGAAGCAAUGCGAAGAACCUUACCAAGUCUUGACAUACUGUGAGGACACAAGAGAUUGUGUUGUUGUGACCUUUGGUUAGACACAGAUACAGGUGGUGCAUGGUUGUCGUCAGCUCGUGUCGUGAGAUGUUGGGUUAAGUCCCGCAACGAGCGCAACCCUUAUAUGUAGUUGCCAGCAGUAAGAUGGGGACUCUAGAUAGACUGCCAGUGAUAUAAAUGGAGGAAGGUGGGGAUGACGUCAAAAUCAUCAUGCCCCUUAUGACUUGGGCUACAACAACGUGCUACAAUGGAUAGGAACAAAGAGAUAGCGAGCUCGCGAGAGUAAGCAAAACCUCAACAAAACUAUUCUCAGUUCGGAUUGUAUUCUGCGAACUGAACUACAGAAGGCUGGAAUCGCUAGUAUUCGCGAUUCAGAAAUGUGGCGGUGA